ensembl:lncRNA LINC02021 long intergenic non-protein coding RNA 2021
GGUCUUUUUAGCAGGGGCCUUACGGGUGCGCGCUUCGGUCCUGGAGGCCUUAUCCUAGCCUCCUCUCUCCAUCAGCGCCACCCGUCUGGGGCCCAAAAGGAGGGAGCUUUACCUCUGUCCCCCAGCCUUUGGAGUGUCACCAAACAAGCCAUUCGUUCACCAAAUACUUAUUAAGUGCCUGACAACGGAGAUGUAACGUUCUACAAGGCCUGGAGCAGAUACGAAAAACCUCCCUUCUUUGCCAAAUGGUCCCCAGCUUCCCCAUUCACUGAAGGCCCUGCGGUCAGGAACAGUCAGGACUUUGCACCCAGUUGUUGUGAGUGUUGGCCGACCCUUCCUCUUGUGUGAUUCAUGGACCCUUAGCAUUGCAUCACCUGGGAGCUUUUGGAAUUGAAGACUCUCAGCGCUCACCGGAAGGACCUCCUGGGCCAGAAUCUGCAUUUUAACAAGAUGCCCAGGGCUUCUCAACCAGGGGGUGAUUUUGCCCCCAAGAGAACAUGUGGCCAUGUCUGGAGACAAUUUUGGUUGUUGCAGCUGGAGGAGGUGGUGCUACUGGCAGCUAAUAGGUAGAGGCCACGGAUGCUGCUAAACAUCCUACAAUGCUCCGGACAACUCCCACUAAGACAAAAGAAUGAUCCAGCCCCAAAUGUCAAUAGUGCUGAAAGUGAGAGACCCUGAUUCCAUCUUAGAGAUCAUCCAAGCACACUUGGCCAAAUAGUUUUUGCUACUAUCCCAUGAAGAAAAGGCAGACUCAUGACUGAUGGCAACGUCGAUGGGAAUUUUGUUUACUUCUUCUUUGUGGACUUUGGGAUACGAUGACUUACCAUUUGUGCAAGUUGUGCAUUGCAUACCUCCAGGGGGCGCCACCCACAUAUUUAUGAAAAUGCCACCCCAGGAAUUGCACAGUACAUAGUCUACAUGGCAAUAAACAGUUGCUCUGGUUUUGGGGUUGUCCUGGGUUGCUCUGGAACUGGGAGGAACUUUAUUUCUGGCCAUUAGAGGCCCUGAGCAUGACAUUGAGUAUCCUUUCAAGAAAGGAGAAAUGUUGAACAGAGAGGACCUCAUUUUUAUAACUCUUGACCAUCAUCUAGUUACGCAGCAUCCACUUUUCACCCCUGGGCCAUAUCCAUUUGACGGAUGAAAAAUCAUCAAAUUAUAAUAUCAUGGCUUUUACUUUUGAUAGCUUCUGCCCGGAACAUGGCGGUAACAGCUUCUCAUUUUCAAUUGAUUCAUUGGGGGAGAAAAUAUACACGACUGCCCUAAGACUUUCUAUUACAUACCAUUUGUUUGACGGGAUUUCUUUAGUUUCUGUAGCAUAACUUAUUCUAACUGGUCCUCAAUCACUUUGCAAUAAAACCUGAGAUUGUGAA